UACGUAGGGGGCAAGCGUUGUCCGGAUUUACUGGGCGUAAAGAGCGUGUAGGCGGCCAAACAGGUCCGUUGUGAAAACUGGGAGGCUCAACCUCCAGACGUUGACGGAAACCGUGUGGCUAGAGUCCGGAAGAGGAGAGUGGAAUUCCUGGUGUAGCGGUGAAAUGCGCAGAUAUCAGGAAGAACACCAAUGGCGAAGGCAGCUCUCUGGGACGGUACUGACGCUGAGACGCGAAAGCGUGGGGAGCGAACAGG
rnacentral:rRNA from 1 species